UUUCAGGUUUUUCUCAAAACCAAUAAUUUAUUUAUUAAAAAGAGC
rfam:Dendroctonus ponderosae Seq01007773, whole genome shotgun sequence.